rnacentral:rRNA from 1 species
CCUACGGGCGGCAGCAGUGAGGAAUAUUGGUCAAUGGGCGCGAGCCUGAACCAGCCAAGUCGCGUGAGGGAGGACGGCCCUACGGGUUGUAAACCUCUUUUGCCGGGGAGCAACGGGCGUCACGUGUGGCGCCACUGAGAGUACCCGGAGAAAAAGCAUCGGCUAACUCCGUGCCAGCAGCCGCGGUAAUACGGGGGAUGCGAGCGUUAUCCGGAUUUAUUGGGUUUAAAGGGUGCGUAGGCGGAUCGUUAAGUCAGGGGUCAAAUUGAGGGGUUCAACCCCUUCCCGCCAUUGAAACUGGCGUUCUUGAGUGGAAGAGAAGUAUGCGGAAUGCGUGGUGUAGCGGUGAAAUGCAUAGAUAUCACGCAGAAUCCCGAUUGCGAAGGCAGCAUGCCGGCUUCCGACUGACGCUGAAGCACGAAAGCGUGGGGAUCGAACAGGAUUAGAUACCCCAGUAGUC